rnacentral:rRNA from 1 species
UACGUAGGGUGCGAGCGUUAAUCGGAAUUACUGGGCGUAAAGCGUGCGUAGGCGGUUCGUUAAGUGCGUCGUGAAAGCCCCGGGCUCAACCUGGGAAUGGCGAUGGAAACUGGCGGGCUGGAGUACGCAAGAGGGGGGUGGAAUUCCACGUGUAGCAGUGAAAUGCGUAGAGAUGUGGAGGAACACCGAUGGCGAAGGCAACCCCCUGGGGCGAUACUGACGCUGAGGCACGAAAGCGUGGGGAGCAAACAGG